rnacentral:rRNA from 1 species
UACGUAGGGGGCAAGCGUUGUCCGGAAUCAUUGGGCGUAAAGAGCGCGUAGGCGGCCCUGUAAGUCCGCUGUGAAAGUCAAGGGCUCAACCCUUGAAUGCCGGUUGAUACUGCAGGGCUAGAGUCCGGAAGAGGCGAGUGGAAUUCCUGGUGUAGCGGUGAAAUGCGCAGAUAUCAGGAAGAACACCCGUGGCGAAGGCGGCUCUCUGGGACGGUACUGACGCUGAGACGCGAAAGCGUGGGGAGCGAACAGG